GGGCGCGUAGCUCAGAUGGUUAGAGCGCACGCCUGCUAAGCGUGAGGUCGGUGGUUCGAUUCCACUCGUGCCCA
rnacentral:tRNA from 1 species